rnacentral:rRNA from 1 species
GGGAAAACUUUUUUUGGUUUAAUGAAAUGAAUUUAACUUUUUAGUAAAAAGGCUAAAAUUUUUCUUUUAGACAAGAAGACCCUAUAAAACUUUAUAUUUGAAAGUUUUUAAAAGAAUUUUAAAGUAUUGCACUGGGGCGGUGAAGGAAAAAAUCUUCCUUUAAAUUUUGGGACGGAUUUGUUAGAAUAUCUAGAAUUUCUAAAAUAGGAAUAAGUUACUUUAGGGAUAACAGCUUAAUUUACUUUGAAAGAUCAAAUUGACAAGUAAGU